GGUGUAAGCCGUAAUUGUAUAUAAGAAUGUGUUCUUAACUGAAUUGCCUAGUUAAAUAUAGGUAAAACAAUGUUUUGUUAAAUACCUCCACUAUCAACAGCGACUUCCAACACGUUAACGUUUGAGUCAUUUAGCAGACGCUUUUAUCCAGAGCGACGUACAAUAGUGAGACACAACAGCUGUUUGUAUUCUGACACAUAUGGUUAAAACGCAUGGACAUGAUUUCAAGCUAUUACGUAUAUCUGGGAAACAUAAAGGGCAUGAACAAUUUGCUGGCACCGGCUGACAAGGCAUCUACUAUCGGUUGGCCAUCUGAAGACUGUCCCCAUUUCUCAAUUUCUUAGUCCUGAAGUAUCCUACACCAUUUUCCUCUUCUGUGAGCGGACAAGCGCAAAUGUAUCGAAAUAUAAUUGGGUUGGUCGUCAUGUCACUUCCACUGAUUCUGAGCCCCCACGUUUUGGGGCUCGCAACAGACGGUUUGAGCAAUCUUCAAAAUAUUGCAGGGAAGCUCAGCUUCAUUCAGAGGGAAGGAAAUGUGACUUAUCUGCGGGACAAGGAGCUGGCCACGGAAGUUCCAACCGAGACAAAGUUUGAACUGUUCGAUCCAAGGAACACUUUACGCACCGCCAGAUUCACCUAUACCUGGGACUUCGGCAACGGAGAGGUGCUGAAAGGAUCGGAGCCGUCUGUGCACUAUAACUACUCAUCCUCUGGAAACUACACUCUGCGGCUGAGAGUAGUGACCCAAGUGAACAAAAUCUCUACUCCACUAACUGGGGUAUACAGCAUGGACGUUACAGUUUUGGACGCCAUCAGAAAUAUUGAGUUGAAGAGCCCUUUGAGUUUCCAGGUUUCCAGAAACAACAGUCUGGUUGUUCAUGUGGAUGGAAGUCCUCCCAUGUGGGUCUGUUGGAGGUUCCUACAGAACUGUGUAUCAGCAAACCUAAGGCUGUCACUGACAUGCUGUAUGAGAACACCAUGAUACUGAACCACACCUUACAGCUUUAGGAGACACUGUCUGGACAUCAGCGCCGCAACGACAUCAGCAAACUGCAGACCUCCUACAACAUCUUUGUGAGGAGAGUCCCUCCAUUAACCUGCUAUUCACCCUGACAUGUACUGGGAUCAUCUUGGCAAUACUCGCCUUCAUCACUGUUAUAGCCUGUCGCACUAAGAAUGGACACAACAACAAACCACAGAUGUCUAAGUCCAGUAACGCCACUUACUCCAGCAUGAACAUGGAACUGCAGCCACAACAGGACUUCCCUGAUAUCAGUAGUGAUCUCUAUGUGUCCAGGCCAAAGAAAGAAGAGGUCCAACCCCUUCUACAGCACGGGACCAGAUCUGUCGCCAAAUCCUACCGCAACUAGUCUUCAUUUACACACUUUGUGACGGAUUCAAGUCAAAUGUUAAUAGUUUGCUAACAAUGUAUAGUUUGAGAUGAAUAUAUGUCACCAGUAACAUUGAACAACAAAUUGUCAGUGAUGUAUUACCGAUGUAGAUUACAUUCCUCUGUCUGUGUGGAUUUUAUACUUACACUAUUUUGCCUUUGAUGAUCUCAUCCUCAGACCCAGCCAAAAGCCUGACCUCAAAAACUAAAUAUCCAUCCAAGGGUUUUAGAGGAUUGAAUCCCACUAUGAUAAUAGAUGACAGCUGCCAGUAACCCUGUAGAGAACUGUCCUAAUGUGUAUUAUUACCCAGUGAUCUAUAUAUACGCUAGGUGACUGAUCAGUGGCGCUGUGUUGAAUCCACCGUGCCUCCAUUUUGGCACUCCCCCACC